rnacentral:misc_RNA from 1 species
GAGUGCUCAGGUUCAUCAAACCAGCCUACUUCCAUGUAAACCACUUUUUCAAAGCACAUUGAUCUGAUCCUUUUAAUCAAUUUACAACCCCCCACUGCAAAAAAAUAUGACCUCAGCGGAUUAACCAACAAAGACAAUGAGGCCAGACCAAGAAACAUGAAUGCCCAAAAUCUUGCAUCCUUUCGGAGUUGUUCUGCCGGCUUAAAGAAA